CCAGACUCCUACGGGAGGCAGCAGUGAGGAAUAUUGGUCAAUGGCCGGAAGGCUGAACCAGCCAUGCCGCGUGAAGGUCAGUGCCCUAUGGGCGUUAAACUUCUUUUGUGCGGGAGCAAUAAUGGUCACGUGUGGCCAGACGAGAGUACCGUACGAAUAAGCAUCGGCUAACUCCGUGCCAGCAGCCGCGGUAAUACGGAGGAUGCGAGCGUUAUCCGGAUUUAUUGGGUUUAAAGGGUGCGUAGGCGGAGUGUCAAGUCAGCGGUAAAAGUUCGGGGCUCAACCCCGUCGUGCCGUUGAAACUGACGCCCUUGAGUGAGUGAGAAGUAAGCGGAAUGCGUGGUGUAGCGGUGAAAUGCAUAGAUAUCACGCAGAACUCCGAUUGCGAAGGCAGCAUACCGGCGCCCAACUGACGCUCAGGCACGAAAGCGUGGGGAUCGAACAGGAUUAGAUACCCUAGUAUGA
rnacentral:rRNA from 1 species